UAGGGGAUCUUCCACAAUGGGCGCAAGCCUGAUGGAGCAACACCGCGUGAGUGAAGAAGGGUUUCGGCUCGUAAAGCUCUGUUGUUAAAGAAGAACACGUAUGAGAGUAACUGUUCAUACGUUGACGGUAUUUAACCAGAAAGUCACGGCUAACUACGUGCCAGCAGCCGCGGUAAUACGUAGGUGGCAAGCGUUAUCCGGAUUUAUUGGGCGUAAAGAGAGUGCAGGCGGUUUUCUAAGUCUGAUGUGAAAGCCUUCGGCUUAACCGGAGAAGUGCAUCGGAAACUGGAUAACUUGAGUGCAGAAGAGGGUAGUGGAACUCCAUGUGUAGCGGUGGAAUGCGUAGAUAUAUGGAAGAACACCAGUGGCGAAGGCGGCUACCUGGUCUGCAACUGACGCUGAGACUCGAAAGCAUGGGUAGCGAACAGGAUUAGAUACCCUGGUAGUCCAUGCCGUAAACGAUGAGUGCUAGGUGUUGGAGGGUUUCCGCCCUUCAGUGCCGGAGCUAACGCAUUAAGCACUCCGCCUGGGGAGUACGACCGCAAGGUUG
rnacentral:rRNA from 1 species